AACCAUAUUCGUCUCUCUGUGAAAAUUUUCUCUUCAUCUCUCACACACUUAAAUUAGGGUUUUGAAGCCUUUACGUAGUACCGGCAGUGCUCUGCUUCGUCUUCGAUCCUAGUUUUCCAGUGUCGGCGAAUCCUUCCCAAAGUCUCUCUACAAUUGUUCAAUUCGUUGGGCGCUUAGGGUGCAUACCUCAAGCUCUGGUGCUCGUUUCAAUUCAAGUAGCGGUUCCGAACUGAAUUGGAGCUGCUCCGGUGAUUUCAGCAAUGGCGCCUAGCCGGAGGAGUGGAGCUAGCAAAGCCACUCAGGCCGCCGCUGCUUGAGCCGAAGCAAGAAUAACAACGCGAGGAUAUCGAGGAUGAAGAAGACAUGAUUGAUAAGUGGAUGUUGCUGCUUUAGCGCAGUUUUGUGUUUGGAUCUAAGAGCAAAUCAACAAGAAUGUGAAACUAAGUGAGGUAGAAGAUGCAGAAAAACUUCUCGAAUUUCAUACAAAGCAAUCAGGUUUCCUAGGUACAAGCUUUGACACCAUAAGUGGUACUUAUCACUGCUUUAUUAACAGUUUUCUGAAGUGGUAUCUUCAGUGCCUCUUCUCCUCUCUGUAAUAUUCUUUUCUUUCAAUUUAUUGCUCAUUAAUUUCAAUGAACUUUUAGGCUCCGGUGCAAAUGGUGCUAUCAUACAUUAUAAACCAGAACUAGAAAGUUGCAGUGUUGUGAAUGAAAAUAAACUUUUUCUUGUGGAUAAUGGUGCUCAAUAUGUAGAUUGAACAACUAACAUAAU